AGGCUGGUUCCGUGCAUUAGCAGAAAUCUGCCUAAGAAUGUAGAAAAAAAAAUCUAAAACGUUUUGAAUUCCUCAAUGAUUUUUGUGGAAAGGCGGCUUAGGAUAAUUAUUUCAGCUUUAUUGAGGGCAGAUUAGUUGAAGUCUCGAUGCCCUGUUUCAAUACGCCUUGUAUAUGCCUUUACAAUGUAU
ensembl:misc_RNA